UCAUAUUUGAUGGAUGAUGCUUAGUAAGAUUUGCAUUCUGCUUAUGCAUUUAUCAUUCUCAAUUUGUUUUUCUCAUUUAACAUAAAAAAAGGCUUCAGCUGAGUCCAGAGCAGUGCAGUGAUUUCUAUGUUGAGCAUUAUGGGAAGCUGCAUUUUCCCCAUCUGACUGCCCUCAUGUGCUCUGUACUGGGCUGUUGCUCUAGCACUGGCCUGACACCAGGCUAUUGCCACCUGGAAAGCCAUAAUGGGGCCAGUCAGCAGCAUCAAGCCAAGAGAGACGCAUCCUGACUGACAUGGCUUGCAGACUGGUUGAUGAAAAAUAA